rnacentral:rRNA from 1 species
AUUGAACGCUGGCGGCAUGCUUUACACAUGCAAGUCGAACGGCAGCACGGGGGCAACCCUGGUGGCGAGUGGCGAACGGGUGAGUAAUAUAUCGGAACGUACCCGGAAAUGGGGGAUAACGUAGCGAAAGUUACGCUAAUACCGCAUAUGCCCUAAGGGGGAAAGCGGGGGACACGCAAGAACCUCGCGUUUUCGGAGCGGCCGAUAUCGGAUUAGCUAGUAGGUGAGGUAAAGGCUCACCUAGGCGACGAUCCGUAGCUGGUCUGAGAGGACGACCAGCCACACUGGAACUGAGACACGGUCCAGACUCCUACGGGAGGCAGCAGUGGGGAAUUUUGGACAAUGGGCGCAAGCCUGAUCCAGCCAUGCCGCGUGGAGUGAAG